GACGUAGGGCGCGAGCGUUGUCCGGAUUUAUUGGGCGUAAAGAGCUCGUAGGCGGCUUGUCGCGUCGUCUGUGAAAUCCCGCGGCUCAACCGCGGGUCUGCAGUCGAUACGGGCAGACUGGAGGUAUGCAGGGGAGAACGGAAUUCCUGGUGUAGCGGUGAAAUGCGCAGAUAUCAGGAAGAACACCGGUGGCGAAGGCGGUUCUCUGGGCAUGUCCUGACGCUGAGGAGCGAAAGUGUGGGGAGCGAACAGG
rnacentral:rRNA from 1 species